AAAUGUUUGAUAUAUGAUUUUGAUUAUCAAAAACAAAAUUUUCUGGAAUUUUCUAUAAAACUAAAUCGCGAUAUCGAACUAAAGGCUCAAUAGUAAAUAGUUAAUAAAGGAAAGCAGGUUGGUAACACCUUACUUUCGGUACAAUCAUGACGUUUUGGAAGUUGGGUCAUUACACCUCAUGAUGUUUGCAUUGGUACAUUAAAUAUUUGUUGAUUGG